rnacentral:rRNA from 1 species
CCAGACUCCUACGGGAGGCAGCAGUGAGGAAUAUUGGUCAAUGGGCGCGAGCCUGAACCAGCCAAGUCGCGUGAGGGAUGACGGCCCUACGGGUUGUAAACCUCUUUUGCCGGGGAGCAACGGGCGCCACGUGUGGCGCCACUGAGAGUACCCGGAGAAAAAGCAUCGGCUAACUCCGUGCCAGCAGCCGCGGUAAUACGGAGGAUGCGAGCGUUAUCCGGAUUUAUUGGGUUUAAAGGGUGCGGAGGCGGGUGGUAAAGAGGGAGGCAAAUAGGGGGGGACCACCCCCCCCCCGCCAUUGAAACUGGCGCUCUUGAGUGGAAGAGAAGUAUGCGGAAUGCGUGGUGUAGCGGUGAAAUGCAUAGAUAUCACGCAGAACCCCGAUUGCGAAGGCAGCAUGCCGGCUUCCGACUGACGCUGAAGCACGAAAGCGUGGGGAUCGAACAGGAUUAGAUACCCCCGUAGGC